UACCAGCUCUCCGAGUGGUAGGGAUGUUUAUUGGGCUUAAAGCGUCCGUAGCUGGCUUUUCAAGUCUCUCGUUAAAUCCAACGAUUCAAUCGUUGGACUGCGGGAGAUACUGUUAGGCUUGGAGGCGGGAGAAGCCGACGGUAUUUCCGGUGUAGGGGUAAAAUCCUAUAAUCCCGGGAGGACCACCAGUGGCGUAGGCGGUCGGCUAGCACGCGCUCGACGGUGAGGGACGAAAGCUGGGGUAGCAAACCGGAUUAGAUACCCGGAUAGUCCCAGCUGUAAACGAUGCGGGCUAGGUGUUGGAGCGGCCACGAGCCGCUUCAGUGCCGCAGGGAAGCCAUUAAGCCCGCCGCCUGGGGAGUACGGCCGCAAGGCUGAAACUUAAAGGAAUUGGCGGGGGAGCACCACAAGGGGUGAAGCUUGCGGUUUAAUUGGAGUCAACGCCGGGAACCUUACCGGGGGCGACAGCAGAAUGAAGGCCAGAUUGAAGGUCUUGCUAGACGAGCUGAGAGGAGGUGCAUGGCCGUCGCCAGUUCGUGCCGUGAGGUGUCCUGUUAAGUCAGGCAACGAUCGAGACCCACGCCCCCUGUUGCUACCGAGGAGUUUUUCCAAGGAGCACUCUGCGGGUACUGCCAACGAUAAGUUGGAGGAAGGAGUGGGCUACGGCAGGUCAGUAUGCCCCGAAUCCCCCGGGCCACACGCGAGCUGCAAUGGUUGGGACAGCGGGCUCCGACCUCGAAAGGGGAAGGCAAUCCCAAAACCCAGCCUCAGUUGGGAUCGAGGGCUGAAACCCGCCCUCGUGAACAUGGAAUCCCUAGUAAUCGCGUGUCAUCAGCGCGCGGUGAAUACGUCCCUGCUCCU
rnacentral:rRNA from 1 species